AUUGAACGCUGGCGGCAGGCCUAACACAUGCAAGUCGAGCGAGCGGCGGACGGGUGAGUAAUGUCUGGGAAACUGCCUGAUAGAGGGGGAUAACUACUGGAAACGGUAGCUAAUACCGCAUACCAUCAGCUGUGCCCAGAGGGGAUUAGCUAGUAGGUGGGGUAACGGCUCACCAAGGCGACGAUCCCUAGCUGGUCUGAGAGGGUGACCAGCCACACUGGAACUGAGACACGGUCCAGACUCCUACGGGAGGCAGCAGUGGGGAAUAUUGCACAAUGGGCGCAAGCCUGAUGCAGCCAUGCCGCGUGUGUGAAGAAGGCCUUCGGGUUGUAAAGCACUUUCAGCAGGGAGGCGGUACCCACAGAAGAAGCACCGGCUAACUCCGUGCCAGCAGCCGCGGUAAUAC
rnacentral:rRNA from 1 species